GAUGAACGCUGGCGGCGUGCUUAACACAUGCAAGUCGAACGAAGCACUUUAUUUGAUUUCCUUCGGGACUGAUUAUUUUGUGACUGAGUGGCGGACGGGUGAGUAACGCGUGGGUAACCUGCCUUGUACAGGGGGAUAACAGUUGGAAACGGCUGCUAAUACCGCAUAAGCGCAUGGCAUCGCAUGAUGCAGUGUGAAAAACUCCGGUGGUAUAAGAUGGACCCGCGUUGGAUUAGCUAGUUGGUGAGGUAACGGCCCACCAAGGCGACGAUCCAUAGCCGACCUGAGAGGGUGACCGGCCACAUUGGGACUGAGACACGGCCCAAACUCCUACGGGAGGCAGCAGUGGGGAAUAUUGCACAAUGGGCGAAAGCCUGAUGCAGCGACGCCGCGUGAGCGAAGAAGUAUUUCGGUAUGUAAAGCUCUAUCAGCAGGGAAGAUAAUGACGGUACCUGACUAAGAAGCACCGGCUAAAUACGUG
rnacentral:rRNA from 1 species